GAUGAACGCUAGCUACAGGCUUAACACAUGCAAGUCGAGGGGCAGCGGGGAUUGAAGCUUGCUUCAAUUGCCGGCGACCGGCGCACGGGUGAGUAGCGCGUAUCCAACCUUCCGUACACUCAGGGAUAGCCUUUCGAAAGAAAGAUUAAUACCUGAUGGUAUCUUAAGCACACAUGUAAUUAAGAUUAAAGAUUUAUCGGUGUACGAUGGGGAUGCGUUCCAUUAGGUAGUAGGCGGGGUAACGGCCCACCUAGCCAACGAUGGAUAGGGGUUCUGAGAGGAAGGUCCCCCACAUUGGAACUGAGACACGGUCCAAACUCCUACGGGAGGCAGCAGUGAGGAAUAUUGGUCAAUGGACGAGAGUCUGAACCAGCCAAGUAGCGUGAAGGAUGAAGGUCCUACGGAUUGUAAACUUCUUUUAUAAGGGAAUAAACCCUCCCACGUGUGGGAGCUUGUAUGUACCUUAUGAAUAAGCAUCGGCUAACUCCGUG
rnacentral:rRNA from 1 species